GUCUUAGGAUUUUAAUUCUGUGUGGCUUCAAUGAUAAGGACUUAGCUUCAAAACCCCAACACUUCGCACGAUGAAAUCAGUUUUAAGGCACGAUAAAAUUUCCAUUGCAGCUUUUUAAAAAAGUUUCUGUAAUUUAACCUAACUCCAUAUUUGUCCUGCUUUAGAAAAUUUGCCACUUGUUUUCUCAGUUUUUUUUAAGAGUCAACUUGUUUCUUCAAGACAAAUUAAAAAAAAAAAAAACAAACAAACGCUUUUUAAUUGAAUAACACCAAACAUGCAUCUGUACUGUUUGUACUUUCAACUCGAUUUUUUUGUCAAACCCCAAAUGCGUUUGGUGUAAAGAGAGCAAAUUUCGUGUAGAAUAAAAUUCCUAAUACAUAUUACUCUUAAAUCUUUGGUAUAAAAGACACAACAAAGGGUUGUUUGCUCGCUCGCUCAAUUCAACUUCUACAACUGCUGGGUUCCUCAUUAUCUACGACUUCUCUCUAAGCUUUCAGUAGAGUAAUACAGGGAGUAGCUUUCGCCACUGAAAUCUUUGUACCGCAGCUCCCGGGAACAUGCGGUUCCUCUGAGGUAACCUUCUAGAAGAGAAGGAACCUGAGCAGGCGGUGCCCUCGGUUAUCCAGGAACUCGCCGCCCUGCGGGGCCACAGCAACCUGAGUCAAAAAACGACUCGGCAACACCCUCGCGGAAGAGGGCUCUUUUAAAUGCUUAAGAAACCGAUUCAAGUGGAAGGAGAUGUUUUGCAUUUGUAAAAGAAGUCUUUGCACAGUCUGGAGCAGUGCAGACCCCGGAGGGCGCCCCAGGCGGGUAAUACAGCCUAAAAUAUUUGUUAGCAAUAGAAUUCAAAGGACGAAAGAAUCUGUGUGAUGCUACAGAUGAAAGCUCUACCCAGGUAAGUUAAGUUAUUUUUUAAUUAAUAUCAUGCAUACUUUACCUUGUUUCACAGAAGUUUUGAGGACUCUCACAAGAGUCCACCUAAUAAACAUGAAAAUGAUGAGUAAAUGAGUAGAACA
rnacentral:lncRNA from 1 species